AUGGAGCUCCACCCUCACCAAUCAAAUGCAAGCAUUUGCAAUCUGGGCCUGUUGCUCUUCUCCCAGGUUGUGCUGAUUCUUCCCUCCUGUUUUAUGUUUUGUUCUGAUUUUGGGCGGGAGACCAACUGAAGCGCCCGGAAGCAUGGCCCUUUCUUCAGGCAGCCAGCAGCAUCUACCACUCGAGUUCUGAUGCACUGGAGACAGGGGCACUUAAAAGAAUGGAGCACCCAGUUAUCAAGGAGAGAACUUUAGUGCCAGGAAAGGAUGGAUAAAAAGGUGAGAAGAUGCAAGCUUCAUCUAACCCCCCUGCCCACAGCUUGCGAGCUUCCAAGACGGCUCUCGCUUGGUCAGAGCACUGCGGAGAUGUCAGGGUGGCUGAAAUGGAUGGACAAUCAGGUGAUCUAAAGAAUGGUUAAAAAAAGUGUGCUUGAAACUUUAAAUACCUUCUUAAAUAUUAAAAUUGUAGCUUUUUCAA